rnacentral:rRNA from 1 species
GUCGAGAAUCUUUCACAAUGGGGGCAACCCUGAUGGAGCGACGCCGCGUGGAGGAUAAGGUCUUCGGAUUGUAAACUCCUGUCAUGCGUGAACAAGGUUGCUUGGAUAAUACCUGAGCAAAUUGAUGGUAGCGCAAGAGGAAGAGACGGCUAACUCUGUGCCAGCAGCCGCGGUAAUACAGAGGUCUCAAGCGUUGUUCGGAAUCACUGGGCGUAAAGGGUGCGUAGGUGGCGUGGCAAGUCAGAUGUGAAAGCGCGGGGCUCAACCUCGGAACUGCAUCCGAUACUGCCAUGCUAGAGUACUGGAGGGGUGACUAGAAUUCUCGGUGUAGCAGUGAAAUGCGUAGAUAUCGAGAGGAAUACCAAAGGCGUAGGCAGGUCACUGGACAGUUACUGACACUGAGGCACGAAGGCCAGGGGAGCGAACGGGAUUAGAAACCCUAGUAGUCC